rnacentral:rRNA from 1 species
GACGAACGCUGGCGGCGUGCUUAACACAUGCAAGUCGAACGGAAAGGCCCUGCUUUUGUGGGGUGCUCGAGUGGCGAACGGGUGAGUAACACGUGAGUAACCUGCCCUUGACUUUGGGAUAACUUCAGGAAACUGGGGCUAAUACCGGAUAGGAGCUCCUGCUGCAUGGUGGGGGUUGGAACGUUUCGGCGGGUGGGGAUGGACUCGCGGCUUAUCAGCUUGUUGGUGGGGUAGUGGCUUACCAAGGCUUUGACGGGUAGCCGGCCUGAGAGGGUGACCGGCCACAUGGGGACUGAGAUACGGCCCAGACGCCUACGGGAGGCAGCAGGGGGGAAUAUUGCACAAUGGGAGGAAGCCUGAUGAAGAAACGCCGCGUGCGGGAUGACGGCCUUCGGGUUGUAAACCGCUUUAGCCUGUGACGAAGCGUGAGUGACGGUAAUGGGUAAAGAAGCACCGGCUAACUACGUG